rnacentral:rRNA from 1 species
AGCAGUCGCCGCGGUAAUACAGAGGGUGCGAGCGUUAAUCGGAUUUACUGGGCGUAAAGCGUGCGUAUGCGGCUUCUUAAGUCGGAUGUGAAAUCCCUGAGCUUAACUUAGGAAUUGCAUUCGAUACUGGGAAGCUAGAGUAUGGGAGAGGAUGGUAGAAUUCCAGGUGUAGCGGUGAAAUGCGUAGAGAUCUGGAGGAAUACCGAUGGCGAAGGCAGCCAUCUGGCCUAACACUGACGCUGAGGUACGAAAGCAUGGGGAGCAAACAGGAUUAGAUACCCCAGUAGUCCCUGUCUCUUAUAC